rnacentral:rRNA from 1 species
AACGAACGCUGGCGGCAUGCCUAACACAUGCAAGUCGAACGAGACCUCCGGGUCUAGUGGCGCACGGGUGCGUAACGCGUGGGAACCUGCCCUUAGGUUCGGCAUAACUCCCCGAAAGGGGUGCUAAUACCGGAUAAUGUCUUCGGACCAAAGAUUUAUCGCCUUUGGAUGGGCCCGCGUUGGAUUAGCUAGUUGGUAGGGUAAAAGCCUACCAAGGCGACGAUCCAUAGCUGGUCUGAGAGGAUGAUCAGCCACACUGGGACUGAGACACGGCCCAGACUCCUACGGGAGGCAGCAGUGGGGAAUAUUGGGAAAUGGGCGAAAGCCUGAUCCAGCAAUGCCGCGUGAGUGAUGAAGGCCGUAGGGUUGUAAAGCUCUUUUACCCGGGAUGAUAAUGACAGUACCGGGAGAAUAAGCUCCGGCUAACUCCGUG